rnacentral:rRNA from 1 species
ACGAAGGGGGCUAGCGUUGUUCGGAAUUACUGGGCGUAAAGGGCGCGUAGGCGGUUUGGUUAGUCAGAUGUGAAAGCCCCGGGCUUAACCCGGGAACUGCGUUUGAUACUGCCAAGCUUGAAUUCGGGAGAGGUGAGUGGAAUUCCCAGUGUAGAGGUGAAAUUCGUAGAUAUUGGGAAGAACACUAGUGGCGAAGGCGGCUCACUGGACCGACAUUGACGCUGAGGCGCGAAAGCGUGGGGAGCAAACAG